rnacentral:rRNA from 1 species
GAUCCUGGCUCAGAAUCAACGCUGGCGGCGUGCCUAACACAUGCAAGUCGAACGAGAAAGUGGAGCAAUCCAUGAGUAAAGUGGCGUACGGGUGAGUAACACGUGACUAACCUACCCUUGAGUGGGGGAUAACUUCGGGAAACCGAGGCUAAUACCGCAUAAUACCGAGAGGUCAAAGGAGCAAUUCGCUUAAGGAGGGGGUCGCGGCUGAUUAGCUAGUUGGUAGGGUAAUGGCCUACCAAGGCAAUGAUCAGUAUCCGGCCUGAGAGGGCGCACGGACACACUGGAACUGAAACACGGUCCAGACUCCUACGGGAGGCAGCAGUGGGGAAUUUUGCACAAUGGGGGAAACCCUGAUGCAGCAACGCCGCGUGGAGGAUGAAGUCCCUUGGGAUGUAAACUCCUUUCGACCGGGACGAUAAUGACGGUACCGGUGGAAGAAGCCCCGGCUAACUCUGUGCCAGCAGCAGC